ensembl:lncRNA
UAGUGAAAUUGAUUAUCCCCGAAACAAAUAUAUAUUGCUAGAUUAACAGUAGACUUCUUGACAACAACAAUAGAAAUCAGGAGACAAUGAAAUAAUAUUUUCAAAGUACUAAUAGAAGGUAACUUUCAACUUAGAACUGUGUACCCAGCAUUUUGAAACUUUUUCAAAAAAUGAAAGUGGAAUAAAUGUGUUUUCAGAUAAACAAAAACAUUUUAAACAACAAACACUACUAAGAGAAUUUUAAAAGAAUGCAUUUCUGGAAUAAGCAAGGUCUGAAAUGCAAGUAGGAAAGAUAUCUUGAGAAAUUGGUAUACAUGUGCACAAAUUUAAACAUUGAAUAUAAAAAUAGCAAAAUGAACAAGCCAAAAAUAGGGCCCACAAAUUGCUUUGCUGUUUCUUUCCCUAGGUUUUAUAAGUUUGAUACUAUAAAUUAAAAUUUCAAAGCACAGGGAGUUCCCUGGUGGCUCAGCAGUUUAAAGAUCCAGCAUUGUCACUGCUGUGGUACAGGUUCAACCCUUGGCCCCAGAUCUUCCACAUGCAUCAAGGCCAAAAUGAAAAAAACAGUUUUAAACAUAAAAUAUACAAAAAAUAAAAGCAAGUAUAUCCCUGUAUGUAUCCUUUAUAUAUGGCCAAGAAAAUAAUUAAAAUAUUAAAAGUAAAUCGUUGGGAGUUUCCACUGUGGCUCAGUGGGUUAGCCUCUUGGAGCCUAUGGUUCUCUCCUUUAAACAUCUCUGCAUGUAUACUAGAUCAAUAAAAUGAAGAACAUUGGAGUUCCCAUUGUGGCUCAGUGGGUUAAGAAACUGACUUGUAUCCAUGAGUAUGUGGGUUUGAUCCCUGGCCUCGCUUAGUGGGUUAAGGAUUCAGCAUUGCUGCAAGCUGUGCCAUAGAUUGUAGAUGCAGCUAGGAACCCAUGUUGCUGUGGCUGUGGUGUAGGCCGUCAGCUGAAGCUCUGAUUCAAAUUCAACCCCUAGGCGCCUGGGAACUUCCAUAUGCCUCAGGUGUAGCUGUUAUAAAGAAAUGUAGUACAUUAAUUUUGUAGAACACUUAGUAAAACUUAGAGUCCAGAUCCAUAAACAAUCAAGAGUAAUAUACACCACAGUUUAACACAGCAAAAUUAUUUCUAAUUUGUCCUAGUAGAUUUAUAGUAUAGUUACAUUCAACAUUUCAUCUGAAAAAGGUAAUAGACACUCCAUUUGAGAUAGCAAUGAUUUUACUAUAAGCAAAACAUUUAGCUAUUUGUUCAUCUAUUAAUACAUUUAGAUAAUUCUUUUGUGGUAGAAGAAAUUAUUUUGCUUACUCAACCAAAACUUAAAUUGGGCACUUUCUAGAGUUACAAAGGAUUGUAAAAUGUGAGGAAUAAUGUUCUUCUGAUUUUUAUUAUUGAAGUUAUACUCAUGUCUUAGUGGUGGUGGUGGGGAAUACAAGAAGAUAGCUUUGUAUCUCUUAUAUAAAAUUACUCUUUUAUUUGGAUAUAUAUUUGGAGAUAUUUUAUGGUGACAGGGUGCCUACACAGUGCAUCUGAUAUUUUUUUCCUGGCAUUAUCAAUGAAGAUUCUGGGUUAAGCUUUCAAUGCUUUAACAGCAACUGUAAGAGGCUCAGGAAUUUACCAAGUGGAACAUUGACAGUAGAUAGAAAAAAAUAAAAGAUGGGUAUAGGGCAGCAAUGUUCAGAAAAUGAAGUGGAUACUCUUUCAAAUUUCAGCCCCUGACCUAUGCUGCUAUUAUUUUUUGGGCUCCUCGACAAGGUGAAGGCAAAAGUCGACUCAUUUUAGCCUCCCGAGUUUAAGAUCUGAGAUAUAUAUAUUGCGUUUACAGUGAACAGUAUUGGGGGGAUUGGAUUAUGGUGUUCAAAAGCUAUAAACUUCCAGUUACAAGAUACUUAAAUACUGGUGAUGUAAUGUACAAUAUGAUAACUGUAGUUAUCAACACUGAUAUCUGGCAUAUUUGAAAGUUAUUAAGAGAGUAUAUCCUAAAUGUUCUCAACACAAGGGAAAAAACAUUUUGGGGGGGCCUGGUAACUCUAGAAGGUGAUAGAUGUUAACUAAACUCAUUGUGGUAAUCAUUUCACACUAUAUGUUUCAAGUCAUUAUGUUCUUUACCUUAAAACUUGUGCAAUGCUGUAUGUCAAUUACAUCUCAAUAAAACUGGAUUAAAAGGGAAAUGUGAUUUAUUUGUGUAUAUACAUACACACAUCACACAAUGAAAUAUCACUCAGCUUAAAAAAAAAGGAAAUCUUGCCACUUGCUAUACAUCAUAGAUGGAUCUAGAGGACCUUAUGCUAACUGAAGUACAGCAGAUACAGAAAUAAAAAUAUUGCAUGGUCUCACUUAGAUGUGGAAACUAAAAUAGUCAAACUCACAGAAGCAGAGAGUAGAAUGGCCAUUACCUGGGACCAAUACCUGGGAGGGGAAAAGUUGGUUGAGGGUUUCAAAAGUUUGGUUAUAUACAAUAUGAAUAAGUUCUGGAGAGAUAAUGAACAACAAUAGGACUAUAGUUAACUAUAUACUGUGUUGUACACUUGAAAUUUGCUACAUAGGUAGAUCUUAAGUGUUCUCACCACAACAUAAAAAAAACGAGGGAAAUGUUAACAAUGUGAAGUGAUGUUAACAUGCUUGAUUAAUAAGUUAAUUAGCUUCAUUGUGGCAAUUAUUUCACAAUGUGUAUAUAUAUAUGUAUCAAAGCAUCAAGUUGUACAUCUUAAGCAUAUAUAAUCAUUUGCCAAUUAUAUAGCAAUACAGUUGAAAAAAAUUUUUAACUGUAUUGAUGCUCUGUAAGUAGAAACUAACAUAUUAUCUCAUUUCAUAUAUUGUUAAUUUGAAAAAUGGACAACAGGCUAGUCUCUGAGUAAAGGCCUGGCUGAGUUCCUGCUGUGGCACAGUAUGUUAAGGAUCCAGUGUUGCUGCAGCUGUGGUGUAGGUUGCAGCUCUGGCUCAGAUUCGAUCCCUGGCCCAGGAAUUUCCAUAAGAUGUGGUUGUGGCCAAAAAAGAAAAAAAAAAAUAAAUUUAAAAAUAAAAUAAUAAUCUUUAAAAAAUAAAGACCUGUCUAAGAAAGCAGAAAACAUCGGUGUAGUAUAAAACACAAUACUAAGAACAGAAGUGCUUGAUAAAUAUUCGUCAGUAGCCAUUACUUUGCAUAAGUCAUCAUUACCUUUUUAGGUCCCUGCUUCCCUCUCUUAAAUCAAAAUGAUAAUGUCUAUAAUUUCCUAAUUAGCUAAGCAUCAACGUUAACAUGGUAGUGUUUGAAAGUGCUCCUAUCAAUGCCACACAGAACAAAACUAAGUGAAGAAUUAUGUCUGGUUCUUUUAAAAGAGAAACUAAAAGGAGUGAGAAAAGACUUAUACUUUAUCAAAUUUGGAUUCUACCCUGAACAAAAGAGAUUUUCUCUGAAGGAUCAACACGGUUUGAAACAAAAGAAAACACACAAUUGCAGAAAAUUUGUAGAAGUCAUGUGCCCUGGAAAUGGUAAAUCUAGUUGUGAUUUGAGGCAGAGGAAGAAAAUCGAAGUAAUGUCUCCAUUGAAUGAUGUCAUCCAGCCGGAAUUGCUGGCGUUUUUUUCUGCUGUUUCGAAGCAGGUCAUGGAGGAAUUUUCAGCUGCUGCAACUUCCUUCAGCGUGCCACUGAAUGAAACUAGUACUGACAGGUCUGAGGGCAGCCAACUCCUAGUUUCCAACUAUUAUGUGCAUGCCAUGUCAUCUAAAAAACAAAAACACAUCUAUUUUAAGAACCGCUUUUGGAAACUUUAAAAGCAAUCAAUGUCUUUGAAAUGGUGAACAUUUUUUGUCAAGCAAAACUUCAACUGUGCUUCAUAACAUUUCCCAUUAUGUCCUUGGCACAUGGAGAAAAUAAUAUCUCUGUAUGGUAAGCCAGGACAAAUGGGUUGCUUACAGAAGAGAUUGCAUCCCCAUCCAGUUGGUCCAAGGAUAGAGGUGAACUGUGUUCGAACACCUGUAACCCAUUCCGCUCCAAAGGCCAGGAUACUUUACUUGAGAACAUAUAUGUAUUUGAUGAAGAAGCUCCAGCAGUUCCUGUUGUGGCUCAGCAGCAACAAAACCGACUAGUAUCUAUGAGAAUGCGGGUACGAUCCCUGACCCUGCUCAGUGAGUUAAGGAUCCAGCAUUGCCCUGAGCUUCAGCAUAGGUCACAGAAGCGGCUCAGAUCUGGUAAUGCUGUGGUUGUGGCAUAGGCUGGCAGGUGCAGCUCUAAUUUCACCCCAGCCUAAGAACUUCCAUAUGCCAUGGGUAUGG